GACGAACGCUGGCGGCGUGCCUAAUACAUGCAAGUAGAACGCUGAAGGAGGAGCUUGCUUCUCUGGAUGAAUUGCGAACGGGUGAGUAACGCGUAGGUAACCUGCCUGGUAGCGGGGGAUAACUAUUGGAAACGAUAGCUAAUACCGCAUAAGAGUAGAUGUUGCAUGACAUUUGCUUAAAAGGUGCAAUUGCAUCACUACCAGAUGGACCUGCGUUGUAUUAGCUAGUUGGUGAGGUAACGGCUCACCAAGGCGACGAUACAUAGCCGACCUGAGAGGGGGAUCGGCCACACUGGGACUGAGACACGGCCCAGACUCCUACGGGAGGCAGCAGUAGGGAUUCUUCGGCAAUGGACGGAAGUCUGACCGAGCAACGCCGCGUGAGUGAAGAAGGUUUUCGGAUCGUAAAGCUCUGUUGUAAGAGAAGAACGAGUGUGAGAGUGGAAAGUUCACACUGUGACGGUAUCUUACCAGAAAGGGACGGCUAACUACGUG
rnacentral:rRNA from 1 species